rnacentral:lncRNA from 1 species
CUAUGGGUACAUCAUCUUAUUGUAAACCGAGUAAAACCCAACCUUGGGGUAAUUCACAAGUGCAUAACCUGGGCCCUUUUAAGUCUCGUUGAUAGAGCAACAGGACCCCAAGCGGCUAAGGGUUUCCCUUGACAUUGCUUUGCAGUGAUUUCUCCUCAACUUCUUCAUUACCAAACUUGGAAGGUAGUUUCAGAUUUAUUUGUGCAAACACGGGCUUUAUAUUUUAAUUGUGCACUCGAUCUAUCUGAUUGCUGUGAAUGAGUUAGUUUCAACACAACCUCUAUGGAUCUAAGAUUCCGUCCUGCCUUGCAGCCAUUCUCAUCUUGUAGCUCCUUAGGAUUUAUUUAUUUAUUUUUGGAAAUUGUUGUUUCUUGAUGAUCACCUAUACAGUUUCUGGCUGAAUUAAUUAACUGAAUGAGGCACAUCUACACGCUAAUAUUGAGUCGUUUCGUCUAUUUGGGUCCAAAUGAUGAUUUAGGACCAGAUUGGUCAAAAUGCGUAUGUGUAAGCGCAAAUGUAUUUGAGUUAUGAUCGUCUGUCAGGAUCUGGGUGAGAUAUGUUCUGGUUUUCAUCUCACAAUAGACGAUUGCAGAGAAACAGACUUGGUUGUAAAGAUAUAAGUCAAUAUAAGUCAAUAAGUUUCCGAAUCGAAGUAGCAUUGGUGAUAACCAGUUUUUAGGUAAUAAUUCUGAUUCUAGUUUAAAUUAGCGAGAGACGUUCCAAAAGGAAUAAUGUUUGGACCUAACAUGUAGAUAUUUCCAUCUACAUUGAGUUGGAUCUCACUUUUCAGCGUGUGCUUAUGAUGUGAGCUAUAUCUGCUCUAUAGGAAUUACUACACGUGCUUGCACGUUUAAAUUGUUUCUCAUGGUUCAGUUUCUGUGAAUGUCAUAAAUAUCUUCACCUUCUGUGUAGUUAUUGUGAUAGAUAGUAUUGGCAUUUCUUUCACCAUCUCUUGUUCAUAAUGAUGAAACCCUCGUGCUAAAACGGUGUCUUCUUCUCUUAAUUGUGCCAAUGCAAUUACUAGACAAGCUAGCUCUUAUUAGUUGCUUCUUCUACCUGCAUGCUUUCUUGUUUAAAUAGGUGAGAUUUUGAGGCAUUGGGACUGGAAGACAGUUUUUAGUAUUCACACUCUAUAUAAGGAUACAGUGUAGGAUAUUUUGGCAAGAUAAGAUAUUUAGAAAUGCUAGAGUAGGCACAUUCCCUGUGUAAUUUCUUCUUAGUUUGAUUGUUGUCUUGAGAACCCUUUUUAUUGCCCUUGAAAUCAACAUUAUACAUUCCUUAAUCUUUUGACCAUUGCUAUCUUACUUUCCACGUGCAAAUUCUCUACAUAAUCCUGAGAAAUGUCAUACUAAUAGCAUCAUUUCGUCUUUGUCUCCACUUCUAAUAUCCCUACCCUUUCCCUACUUGACAUGGAGUUUGAUGAAUAUAAAGAAGACUUUCAAGCACUUAAAAAAUUUCCUAUAUUUUGACAAGUAUGGAAUUUGCAUAGAAAAUACUCCUGGGGAGACGGGGAGUCAUAAGCUUCGAAAAACAUAACUAUGAUCUCAGUAAGUGGUUGUUGCCUGGAGGGUCAUUGGACUCCUACUUAAAUAAAUGUGUGGCAAAUAGUGGACGAAAAGCAACGAUUGCAAUCGCUUAACAACAAAAAUUUUUGUCUAUGUCCGACUCUUACAAAUCAGCAUUGAUUUACCAUGUGUACUAUAUUUCUUCUUUGUUGAUUGGCCACACCAGUAAAAAUCUUGUUCUGAUCUAUUUGACUAGCCAAUAAAUUGAGAAAGUUUGUUGUUUAUGCAGAUGAUUGACGACCAGGACUUGGGCUUCUUUGCCAAUUUUCUUGGCAUCUUUAUAUUUGUGCUGGUGAUUGCUUAUCAUUAUGUGAUGGCUGACCCAAAAUACGAGGGCAACUGAUGUGCUUCUUUUGGUUUCCAUCUGUGCUACGAAGUUGAUAUUNAUUUAAUGUCUAUAUUUUAAGGUCCAAAUAAAU